rfam:Thermocrinis minervae strain DSM 19557 genome assembly, chromosome: I
GUGCCCGUAGCUCAGCUGGAUAGAGCGAGGGUCUCCGAAGCCCUAGGUCGGGGGUUCAAGUCCCCCCGGGCACG